UUAGUUGCUUGUUUUAAGUAUUUAUAAAUAGAUAUAGAAGAAUAUAGGUAUGAGUGUCAAUAAUAACCAUAAUUAUAUUGUUAAUGUUAUGUAGGCUAGUAAAGAGGGAAGAAAUUGAUGUGUGUGGUGUGUGUGAGUAAGAGUGAGAUUAGAAAUGUGAGUGAGGUGGAGAGAUGGAGAGGUGUGAGAGAGAUAAGAGAAAGAAGGUGAAUGAAUAGAGAGGAGAGAAAAAGUAGAAUUCAAUGAAAAAAAGAAGAGGGAGUGUGUGAGUUGAAGGAGAUAAAGUGAAAAUGAUGGGUUUGAAAUUGUAGGAGGAGUUGGUUUAUAUAGGGUUGAUGGAUUCAUCUAUGGAAAACACUUGUUCAUUGGCAUACAUGCAUGAUGCCACUUGUUUUUUCACUUCUAUACACAUGUCACAUGAAGCAAGUAAUAGAAGGAAGGUUGCAUGUGAUAGUUGACUUAGUGAAGCACUUUGUGAAGCAAGUAGUGGCAAGAUAUAAUUGGAUGAAAACAAACCUAUGUUGGCAAGAUACAAUUGGACAUGAGACAAAUGUGUUAAGCAUUGAUUGGCCAAUGAAUUAGGGUUUACAAUUA